rnacentral:tRNA from 1 species
GAGCCUAUAGCUCAGCCUGGUUAGAGCACCGCUCUUAUAAGGCGGGGGUCCGAGGUUCAAAUCCUCGUAGGCUCA